AGAAUCAACGCUGGCGGCGUGCCUAACACAUGCAAGUCGCACGAGAAAGGGACUUCGGUCCUGAGUACAGUGGCGCACGGGUGAGUAACACGUGAAUAAUCUACCUCCGAGUGGGGAAGUAACUAGAGAGAAAUCUUAGGCUAAUACCGCAUAACACUUACGAGUCAAAGCAGCAAUGCGCUUGGAGAGGAGUUCGCGGCAGAUUAGUUAGUUGGCGGGGUAAUGGCCCACCAAGACGAUGAUCUGUA
rnacentral:rRNA from 1 species